rnacentral:lncRNA from 1 species
AGCCUUUUGGGACAACCAACUUGGAAAAUACAUAUCCUCUAAACCAGACGUCCACAAAUCUUGAAACAUGAACCUGUGACCCAGUCUGCAAAUAGCUCGUUUCAUACAUUGUACAUUGACAUUUCAACCUGUCAAUAAGAAAUCUCUCUACAUUUAUAAUUUGAUCAAAAAAAGAUAAUGCUAUACACUAUUUGAUCACUACAUCAGCAGGUUUGAUCCACAUUGUCUCCCUCUGGUAGGUGAAGUUG